rnacentral:tRNA from 1 species
GGAAGGGUGUAUGCGGCUUUGCAAGCCGGAGGUCGCCGGUUCGAUCCCGGCACGCUCCA